GGGGUUGUAGCUCAGUGGUAGAGCACUUGCCGCGCACAUGUGAGACCCUGGGUUCAAUCCCCAGCCCCA
rfam:Ictidomys tridecemlineatus contig066027, whole genome shotgun sequence.